GGUUACAGGCAGUGGGGUGGGAGUGAAAGGAAAAACAGGCGGUGGGGGCAGUGGCAGUAUCCUGGGCUCUGCCUGCCUCCACCUGCUUCUGCCGCCCCCACCAUCAUGGGCAGCGCUUACCACUGGGAGGCCCGACGCAGGCAGAUGGCUUUGGACCGGAGAAGGAGGGUGAUGGCCCAGCAGCAGCAGCAGCAGAAGAGUUUAAAUUACUUGUGGCAUGCAUAUAUUUCAACUGGACAGUGAGGUUUCAAAGCAUUUGCAAGAAAGUAUUCUUUGUUCUUUCUCCUGCACUGCAAACUGUUUUCAGUGCAUAGCCCCUGAGCUGGGAGGAGGAACUCCAAUCUGAGGACAAUACCCGGCCACUUCUGACAUCUCAGCAGGAGCAGCAGCCACUGGGGCAGCUAAGGGCGCAGCCACAGCCGCGGGCGCCCCCCGACCAAGCGCAAGCGCCCCGGCCACAGCUCCAGGAACACUCCCAGAUCCCGCCGCCAAGGCCACAGAAUGCCCAAGACCCUCUUAUUCAGUGCACCUCCGUGCGCGUUCUGCAGGAUUCUCAAAGGCCAGGCCCCCAGCUUGGCUCACUAGGGGCCCAUCAAUUGCCAGGGCAAUCGAACCCUAACAGAUUCCCAGGAUGCACAGAAAUUCCUCAAAACACUGGUGUCCAGAAACCAUUCCAAUCUAAUCCAGUCCAUGAAUUACAUUCAGCAAUGGUGAUCCAGAGAUAGACCCCCCAGCCCACUGGCCAUCAGAAAGAAAAAGAAACCCAGAUGAUCAGCCCCACACUUUCUCAACCCCGGUGGCAUCUCCACUCCAACGGCCCCUGUCUCCGCUCCUGAUCCACUCUAGAAGAGAAGGCCAGCUGGGAAUAAAAUGUGAUGUCCUCCUGAAGAGAAUGAACAGACUGGUUCCCCCGGGGGAGCAGCUGGGACCACCAUUCGACCUCUCUGUGUCCUCACAUGGACUCAGGAUUGUGGUCGCACCACCAGCCAGAAAGCAGCUUUCCUUCAAUAGACACCUUAUCGGAUGA